rnacentral:lncRNA from 10 species
UCUCCAUUGCUUCAAUUUGCAUUCUUCAGUUGAGAUAGUCAUAUUGUUAGAUAAUUUUUGACUAUUUUAAUUUAUAUUUAUUUUUGUGAAAUGUCUGUUCGUAUUCUCUGCGCAUUGGACUCUGAAGGGUUUUCUAUUUUUCUUUUUUUUUUUUUGAGACAGAGUCUUGCUCUGUUGCCCAGGCUGGAGUGCAGUGGUGCAAUCUCGGCUCACUGCAGCCUCUGCUUCCCGGGUUCACGCCAUUCUCCUGCCUCAGUUUCCCAAGUAGCUAUAACUACUGGCGCCCGCCACCAUGCUCGGCUAAUUUUUUUUUUUUUUUUGUAUUUUUAGUAGAGAUGGGGUUUCACUGUGUUAGCCAGGAUGGUCUCAAUCUCCUGACCUCGUGAUCUGCCCACUUUGGCCUCCCAAAGUGCUGGGAUUACAGGCUUGAGCCACCACGCCCGGCUCCAUUUUUCUUUUUCUUUUUUCUUUAACAACUGGUAAUUAAUUAAUUAAUUUUUUUUGAGAUGGAGUCUCGCUCUGUCACCCAGGCUAGAGUGCAGUGGCACGAUCUCGGCUCACUGCAACCUCCGCCUCUCAGGUUCUAGGAAUUCUCCUGCCUCAGCCUCCCGAGUAGCUGGGACUACAGGCGCCUGCCACCACGCCUGGCUAAGUUUUUAUUUUUAGUAGAGACGGGGUUUCACCAUCUUGGCCAGGCUGGUCUCGAACUCCUGACCUUGUGAUCCAUCCGCCUUGGCCUCCCAAAGUGCUGGGAUUACAGGCAUGAGCCACCGCGCC